UACGUAGGUGGCAAGCGUUGUCCGGAUUUAUUGGGUUUAAAGGGUGCGUAGGCGGCCCCGUAAGUCAGUGCUGAAAUAUCCCGGCUUAACCGGGAGGGUGGCAUUGAUACUGCAGGGCUUGAGUAAAGUUGAGGUAGGCGGAAUUGACGGUGUAGCGGUGAAAUGCUUAGAUAUCGUCAAGAACACCGAUAGUGUAGACAGCUUACUAAACUUUAACUGACGCUGAGGCACGAAAGUGUGGGGAGCAAACAGG
rnacentral:rRNA from 1 species